rnacentral:rRNA from 1 species
GAUCCUGGCUCAGAUUGAACGCUGGCGGAAUGCUUUACACAUGCAAGUCGAACGGUAGAGGGGGCAACCCCUUGAGAGUGGCGAACGGGUGAGUAAUAUAUCGGAACGUGCCCAGUCGUGGGGGAUAACGUAGCGAAAGCUACGCUAAUACCGCAUACGAUCUAUGGAUGAAAGCGGGGGAUCGCAAGACCUCGCGCGAUUGGAGCGGCCGAUAUCAGAUUAGGUAGUUGGUGAGGUAAAGGCUCACCAAGCCGACGAUCUGUAGCUGGUCUGAGAGGACGACCAGCCACACUGGGACUGAGACACGGCCCAGACUCCUACGGGAGGCAGCAGUGGGGAAUUUUGGACAAUGGGCGCAAGCCUGAUCCAGCAAUGCCGCGUGCAGGAUGAAGGCCUUCGGGUUGUAAACUGCUUUGUACGGAACGAAACGGUGAGCUCUAAUACAGUUUGCUAAUGACGGUACCGUAAGAAUAAGCACCGGCUAACUACGUG